CCUGCAUAAAAGAGCUCCUGAUAAAGAAGAAAGGGAUAAGACCAGUUGAGUAGAAUGCUUUUCUUCUCUGCCUUGGCUACUGAGCUGGUUUUGAAUCUCUUCUUAGUGAGGUAAGUAAAAAUGAAAUAAACUGGUUUUGUAAAGACCUUUCCAGAAGUCUUGGCCCACGUAAUGACACUUAGAGGUCUGGGUGGCUGUGUAGGGCAUAGAUAUGUGGAGGGUGCCAGAGAGCCUGCAUGGUGUCUGGAAAACCGUGGGUGCUUGGCAAAUACCUGGUGAACAAGCCAACCCUGGAAUAUUUGGAUUGUUGCUUUCAGGAGCUGCAGGAACUCAUGCCCUUGGCCUGGAUGUUGCUGGUCACAAUAGGCUCCAUUAACAUUGCCUGCAAACGUUUGGGGUACAUGAGGCAUAAUGUCUUAAGAAGGAACUUGUGCUAUGGAAGCAAAGAACAAAGGGAGACUCAUUCAAAAGGAAGAAACGUUACAUUUGAUUGUGGUCAUGCGGUGGUGACUCCACUUGGCAGUUCCUCUACACUUCAAAAGAAAAUCCAAAGUGACACAAAAGCCCAGGCAAAGAAGUCAUAUCAUUUUCUCACAAAAUAAGAUGCAUAAAUAUCCUCAGGGCCUCAAUUAGAGAGAAGCUACAUUCUCAAAAUAGGAAACAUCCAAACCAAAGUUCCGGCGGCAAUGUAAACUCACUUCUGUGUGUACUGGCAUAUUAAACAUUGUACUAUAAAGUGUAUUAAAAUGGCCACACAAUAACAGCAUGUGAGAGACUAAUGAUGCUUCAAGUGCUUUCAUAGGUGAAUAUGUGGGUGAGAACCUUAUUUGGUUGUUUUUCUUUUUACAGGUCUGUUGGCCUUCCUUGCCUUUUUCACAUGCUUCCCUUCACUUUAUUUCUCUCUUCAUAUUCUCCCUGGAUCCAUCUGAGUUGCCUGGCCUGUGGUUCCUUGUCUUGCAGAGCCACAGAGCUGAGAAGCCACUGUGUUAGGACACUCAUGCUUCUGUGUUAGGACACCCAAGUCACAGCUUCAGCUGCUGGCCGACUCAGCACGUCCGAUUCCCUCAGAGGUCUCCCUUCUUCCUGCCGCCUUUGCUGUUGCACCCUCAUACUUUUUUAUAUAGCUUUAACAACUGCUUUUAUUUUCCCAGUUUUCAUUGUGGAAGUUCCCAGCCCGACAAGGGUAACUUUAGAGUCCUUAGGAUUUGGCGUUGCUUUAUUCAUAGCUGCAACCUAGAUGGAAGAUGGGUCUUUCUUGAUUCUUAUGCUCAGCAAGUGUUUAAAUGGUUGUGUUCAAAUACGAUUAGUGGGGAAAAGAACUGGGAUAUACCUAUUGUAUCACAUCAGUGCCCUUAUAGGCUUGUAUUUUAUCUCAGGCUAUACUUUCUUUCCGUGUUACAUCCUCCUGGCUGAGAGUGAAAGAAUAUCAUGGAUUAAAAUGCUAUUUCUGGAAAUUUAUUUCUGGCUGGCAUUAAGCAAGCCAAGAACAUGGCCAUCUUAAAAGAUUGUUAAUGAGUAAUAGGCACAGUAUUUGUGUUGCCAGUAAUACAGCAGUUGGUCUACAUUAAUCGACAAUCAGCAAAUUAGUGGAUUAUGUUGCUG
rnacentral:lncRNA from 12 species